CCCGGCCCGCCCCUGAGGCGUCAGCGGAGUGGCUCAGCCGACAGGCCGCGCUUCUGCCAGCGCGCGGGAGCCAGUGAAGCUUAAUGCUGAAAGUUUUGGGUGCUCACGGGUUUAAACGCUCUUCUGAGGAUUUUGGGCACAAUCUAACCGCUUAAGCUCUCUCUCCUCUUUUCCUGUUCUUUAUGCGGUAGACUUCCUACGCCAUGAUUUUACACCGUGAUCACGGGAGGGUGAGGAGUAUGCGCUGCCACCGGGGACAUCUCUCGCACGCCGAAGCAUCAUUCCGGAUCAGUUUUUCUUGGCCCGAUGGGUGCAAGUUCACAGUGGAUUCCAUCUCUGGAUUUUAAAGAACGCCUCCUGCAAUUCCGUCGCCCUGCAAAUCCCCACCUCGAUGUCCUACAACUGUAGGAGUGAAGAGGAAGGACAGCACUUUUCAGACCUGGAGUGGCAGAAACUUCUGGAUGCAGAAGGACACUUCCAUGGAGACCUGUGCAGAACUGAUGCCACAAUUACAAAGGCAUCCAGCCCAGAAGCACUGGUCAUUGCUACAAGCUUCUCUAUGGAUUUCUGCAAGAAACCCCCUUAAUGCUGUCGCAGGUCCGUUGAAACUGGUCUGAUGAGGGUGCAUCGACUAGUGGAGCUUCUGUGAGGUGCCAGCAGCACUGCAAAAGAAAAAAAGUAGUUUGCCCUGGUUACAAGAUUUACAAACUUUCAGAAAGCUUUGCACAUACGGAUUUCCCUACAGGAAAUCAAGGAGAACCACGUUUAUUCUUUGCCCUUUCCCCCUAUGAGUUCCUCAGAGUUCUUCUAUAGGAAAGGGUUGUUUCAGUAGUGCUGAAGGAUUUGACUGAUCAUUGUAGCAGCAUCACCAAAGAUAAUGCCAGCUUGUAUUGAAAAGAAAAUGGCCCAGAAACAUCCACUGGCACAACUGCUCCCACUCAUUUUUUUCUCGUGAGCAGGAAGAAGUCUGCCAGCACUGCUGUUAGCAGUAAUACUGAUAGUGUGUGCAUACUGAGGAUGCGACCCAUUCUUGACGCUGCCUGUGCUUACCUCCUGAGGUCUUACUUAACUAACUUACUGCUACAGCUCUUGAAGCGUACCAUUGGCCAGCUAGACGGUGUAAUCAACGUUCUGUUGAUUACUAAUGACAACUACCAAACAGAUUAAACAUUUACUUUUGCAUUAUUCUCUCAUGUAUAGUAUAAGGAACAUAGGCGCCUGAGUCAGGCAUAUGGAUUCCACUCCAUAGGCUGAAAAUUGAACACCAUCAAGUGCCCAAGUCUUUUGCUGGAUCUAGAUACAAGAUGCUAAGUAGAGAAUAAAACACAGCAAGAUAUAAAGUGAGAUAACUUGCUAUUUAGAAUAUCUUCCUGUUUAAACAUCCGAGCAAACUACCGAUGUAGUUGCCAGACACAGAUGCAGCAAGAUACGUUGUAAAGUCUGGGUGAGAUUAUAAAGACAAUAGUUCUAUAGGCAAAUGAGGCUCUGCUACUGAGAUGAACUUGGUUGUAGAUAAAUACAUGAGAUAUAAUGGAACUACUGAACAAAUAAAGUAAACCUGAAGUGAA